rnacentral:rRNA from 1 species
UUGACAGAUUGAGAGCUCUUUCACGAUUCGGUGGGUGGUGGUGCAUGGCCGUUCUUAGUUCGUGGAGCGAUCCGUCAGGUUGAUUCCGUUAACGGACGAGACUCUGCCCUCUCUUACUAGGUAUGGCGGUGACAAUGAGCCGUCGGAGCCACAGGCAAAACUUCUUAGAGGGACGGGUGGCGUGUGUGAGUUUCAGGAAGCGGGAGCCAUAACAGGUCUGUGAUGCCCUUUGAUGUUCGGGGCCGCACGCGCGCUACACUGAGAGAGGCAGCGUGGUUGCUUUCAAAGAACCGGGUCCGCGAGGGCCCUCCGUCGUCCCGUUGGACGUGGUAAUCUCCUAGACUCUGCGUUGCUAGGGCUUAGGGGUUGAAAUUGUCCCCUAUCAACGAGGAAUUCCGAGUAAGCGUUGGUCACCAGCCGGCGUUGAUUGUGUCCCUGCCCUUUGUACACACCGCCCGUCGCUACCACCGAGCUAGAGGUUUGGCAAGCCUACUGGAGCCGGCCUGGUCGUCGCUCGGCGCCUGUGCCGCGAGUGGCCGCCU